rnacentral:rRNA from 1 species
GUGUCAGCAGCCGCGGUAAUACGUAGGUGGCAAGCGUUGUCCGGAAUUAUUGGGCGUAAAGCGCGCGCAGGCGGCCUUUUAAGUCUGAUGUGAAAGCCCACGGCUCAACCGUGGAAGGUCAUUGGAAACUGAAAGGCUUGAGUACAGAAGAGGAAAGCGGAAUUCCACGUGUAGCGGUGAAAUGCGUAGAGAUGUGGAGGAACACCAGUGGCGAAGGCGGCUUUCUGGUCUGUAACUGACGCUGAGGCGCGAAAGCGUGGGGAGCAAACAGGAUUAGAAACCCCAGUAGUCC